CAUGGUCAGCUGCACGUACUCUCCACAGCACCGAUCUGCUGUUCCCUCCUAAAGCUUUUGCAAAGCCAAGCGAUGGUAAAAAUAUUCUGUGAACUGAAACAGAGCAACCAUUAUUAAUCUGUGUAGGAAGAUACAAGAGUGAGCAAAUGUCAUGGCUGCAUGCAUUCCUUCCAACUAAAAGAAAGUCCAACAGGAUCCAUCCCUCAACUGAUGAUCAAUCCAUGAGAGACCCAUCCGACCCUAACACUAUCUAGGAGAGAGGAUAGACUCUAACUCUGAAGCAAGCCAUGGAAAAGAACGAAUUACAGCUGGCAAGAAAUGGUAACUGAUUUGGUGGAUAGAGGGAGUGUGGUGGACAUAAUAUAUAUACCUGGACUUCAGCAAGGCUUUUGACACAGUCCCACAUGAUAUUCUGAUAAGUAAUCUGGAGAAGCUUGACAGAACCACCGUUAAGUAGACAUACGAUUGGUUAAACAACUGCAAACAAAGGUAAGACAGUCACUGCCCCAAAAGGCUUACCAUCUAAGAAGAUAAAACCAACAGAGGGGAGAGGAAACAGUGGUACAGAGAGACAAAGUGACUUGCCCAAAGGUCAUACAACAGGUCAGAGGCAGAACAAGGAAGACAAUCAAGGGCAAUAUCCUGUCUCCACUGACUUCACUGGAGCAAGAAUUUCACCUCAAGUCGGCCUUAAUCCAGUUCCUGACUCCAGGAUGGAGCACCAUAUGGAUCAUCUGCACUGAAAGAGGAGAUGUGGUGAUGAAUGAAUUCCAUUUUUCUAGUGAUGUUCUCAUGCAAGCAUGAUGAAUAAGAGCCUCAUAAACAAUUGUUGAGAGGAAGACAGAUCACCAGUCAAGAUUUCCAGUGUCCUUUGAAAACCCAGCAGGCUUCUAGGUCAGUUUGACUUGAUUUCUUGAGUUUAAGCUUUUUUAAAGCUAAUUUAUUAUUCACAAUGGACAGUUUUGAAGUCAGUGUUUU